rnacentral:misc_RNA from 1 species
GAUGAAGAACGUAGCGAAAUGCGAUACUUGGUGUGAAUUGCAGAAUCCCGUGAACCAUCGAGUCUUUGAACGCAAGUUGCGCCCGAAGCCAUUAGGCCGAGGGCACGCCUGCCUGGGCGUCACACGUCGUUGCCCCCCCAUCUACUCCUUCGGGAUUGCGGGGGGCGGAUGAUGGCCUCCCGUGCGCCUCGUCGCGCGGUUGGCCUAAAUGCCAAGUCCUCGGCGACGCACGCCACGACAAUCGGUGGUUGCGAAACCUCGGUUGCCUGUCGUGUGCGGUCGUCGCGCAUCGAGGGCUCGAAAAAAUUGCCGGGCUUCGGCUCGACUUUCAACGCGACCCCAGGUCAGGCGGGGUUACCCGCUGAAUUUAAGCAUAUCAAAAGCGGAGGA